rnacentral:tRNA from 1 species
UCCCAGGUGGCUCACUGAUAAAGAAUCUGCCUGCCAAGCAGGAGAUGAAGGUUCAAUCCCUUGAUUGGGAA